rnacentral:rRNA from 1 species
GAGUUUGUCCUGGCUCAGGACGAACGCUGGCGGCGUGCUUAACACAUGCAAGUCGAACGGGAGGACAUGAAAAGCUUGCUUUUGAUGGGCGUCGACCGGCGCACGGGUGAGUAACGCGUAUCCAACCUGCCCAUCACUUGGGGAUAACCUUGCGAAAGUAAGACUAAUACCCAAUGAUAUCUCUAGAAGACAUCUGAAGGAGAUUAAAGAUUCAUCGGUGAUGGAUGGGGAUGCGUCUGAGUAGCUUGUUGGCGGGGUAACGGCCCACCAAGGCUACGAUCAGUAGGGGUUCUGAGAGGAAGGUCCCCCACAUUGGAACUGAGACACGGUCCAAACUCCUACGGGAGGCAGCAGUGAGGAAUAUUGGUCAAUGGGCGAGAGCCUGAACCAGCCAAGUAGCGUGCAGGAUGACGGCCCUAUGGGUUGUAAACUGCUUUUAUAAGGGAAUAAAGUGAGAGUCGUGACUCUUUUUGCAUGUACCUUAUGAAUAAGGACCGGCUAAUUCCGUGCCAGCAGCCGCGGUAAUACGGAAGGUCCGGGCGUUACCGGAUUUAUUGGGUUUAAGGGAGC